rnacentral:rRNA from 1 species
CUUAGUGGCGGACGGGUGAGUAACGCGUGGAUAACCUGCCCCAUACCGGGGGAUAACAGCCGGAAACGGCUGCUAAUACCGCAUAAGCGCACGGGAAUGCAUGUUUCUGUGUGAAAAACUCCGGUGGUAUGGGAUGGAUCCGCGUCUGAUUAGCUGGUUGGCGGGGUAGAGGCCCACCAAGGCGACGAUCAGUAGCCGACCUGAGAGGGUGGCCGGCCACAUUGGGACUGAGACACGGCCCAGACUCCUACGGAAGGCAGCAG